rnacentral:rRNA from 1 species
ACAAGCGGUGGAGCAUGUGGUUUAAUUCGAAGCAACGCGAAGAACCUUACCAGGUCUUGACAUCCCCCUGACCGGUCCGUAACGGGACCUUUCCUUCGGGACAGGGGAGACAGGUGGUGCAUGGUUGUCGUCAGCUCGUGUCGUGAGAUGUUGGGUUAAGUCCCGCAACGAGCGCAACCCUUAUUCUUAGUAGCCAGCGGUUCGGCCGGGCACCCUAGGGAGACUGCCAGGGAUAACCUGGAGGAAGGCGGGGAUGACGUCAAAUCAUCAUGCCCCUUAUGAUCUGGGCUACACACGUGCUACAAUGGUGACUACAAAGGGAAGCGAAGCUGUGAAGAGGAGCAAAUCCCAAAAAGGUCAUCUCAGUUCGGAUUGUAGUCUGCAACUCGACUACAUGAAGCUGGAAUCGCUAGUAAUCGCGAAUCAGAAUGUCGCGGUGAAUACGUUCCCGGGUCUUGUACACACCGCCCGUCACACCAUGGGAGUUGGAAAUGCCCGAAGUCUGUGACCC